GUGGUGAGGAGUCGCUCUGUCUGACCAGUGGCUUUGAUCAGAUUGAGGCUGAAGCGGAUACAUUCCUCUGCAGUUUACAAGUGAAGCUACGCUGUGAAUUAUGGAUUGUUCAGAGGAGGUUCAGUGUGUGUCUGAGGAGCCCAGCGCCCAAAUGGAGCUAAAAAGGGGAAUGUCGAUUUUCAUUGAUAUUUUGCGGCGAGCUGAUAAAAACGAUGAUGGGAAACUGUCCUUCGAUGAAUUCAAAGCCUACUUCUCUGAUGGAGUCUUGACAGCUGAGGAACUGAAGGAGCUCUUUCA